rnacentral:misc_RNA from 1 species
GUGAGUCAUCGAAUCUUUGAACGCACAUUGCGCCCGCCAGCAUCCUGGCGGGCAUGCCUGUCCGAGCGUCAUUUCAACCCUCGAGGCCCUGCGGCCCGGUGCUGGGACGCUGCGGCACGCCCCCGGGCGCGCCGCAGGCCCCGAAAUACAGCGGCGGCCCCGCUGAGGCCCCCGAGCGAAGUAUGCUAACGCAUCGCUCAGGGCGGUCCGGCGGGCGCCAGGCCGUAAAACGACGCCGCGCGAGCGGCGACACACCCAGGUUGACCUCGGAUCAGGUAGGGAUACCCGCUGAACUUAAGCAUAUCAAUAAGCGGAGGA